rnacentral:rRNA from 1 species
GGGGGGGGGUUUCGGGAUUAUUGGGCGUAAGAGCUCGUAGGCGGUUUGUCGCGUCUGCCGUGAAAGUCCGGGGCUCAACUCCGGAUCUGCGGUGGGUACGGGCAGACUAGAGUGAUGUAGGGGAGACUGGAAUUCCUGGUGUAGCGGUGAAAUGCGCAGAUAUCAGGAGGAACACCGAUGGCGAAGGCAGGUCUCUGGGCAUUAACUGACGCUGAGGAGCGAAAGCAUGGGGAGCGAACAGGAUUAGAUACCCUGGUAGUCCAUGCCGUAAACGUUGGGCACUAGGUGUGGGGGACAUUCCACGUUUUCCGCGCCGUAGCUAACGCAUUAAGUGCCCCGCCUGGGGAGUACGGCCGCAAGGCUAAAACUCAAAGGAAUUGACGGGGGCCCGCACAAGCGGCGGAGCAUGCGGAUUAAUUCGAUGCAACGCGAAGAACCUUACCAAGGCUUGACAUGGGCCGGACCGGGCUGGAAACAGUCCUUCCCCUUUGGGGCCGGUUCACAGGUGGUGCAUGGUUGUCGUCAGCUCGUGUCGUGAGAUGUUGGGUUAAGUCCCGCAACGAGCGCAACCCUCGUUCCAUGUUGCCAGCGCGUAAUGGCGGGGACUCAUGGGAGACUGCCGGGGUCAACUCGGAGGAAGGUGGGGACGACGUCAAAUCAUCAUGCCCCUUAUGUCUUGGGCUUCACGCAUGCUACAAUGGCCGGUACAAAGGGUUGCGAUACUGUGAGGUGGAGCUAAUCCCAAAAAGCCGGUCUCAGUUCGGAUUGGGGUCUGCAACUCGACCCCAUGAAGUCGGAGUCGCUAGUAAUCGCAGAUCAGCAACGCUGCGGUGAAUACGUUCCCGGGCCUUGUACACACCGCCCGUCAAGUCACGAAAGUUGGUAACACCCGAAGCCGGUGGCCUAACCCCUUGUGGGAGGGAGCUGUCGAAGUGGGACUGGCGAUUGGGGACUAAGUCGUAACAAGGUAACC